GCGGGCUUAGUAUAUCGGUAGUACAUGAGCUUCCCAAGCUCAAGAGGCGUGUCCGACUCCCGUAGCCCGCUCCA
rnacentral:tRNA from 1 species